rnacentral:rRNA from 1 species
UACGUAGGGGGCUAGCGUUGUCCGGAUUUAUUGGGCGUAAAGAGCGUGUAGGCGGCCAGGUAGGUCUGCUGUGAAAACUCGAGGCUCAACCUCGAGAUGUCGGCGGAAACCAUCUGGCUAGAGUCCGGAAGAGGAGAGUGGAAUUCCUGGUGUAGCGGUGAAAUGCGCAGAUAUCAGGAAGAACACCCGUGGCGAAGGCGGCUCUCUGGGCCGUAACUGACGCUGAGGAGCGAAAGCGUGGGGAGCGAACAGG